rnacentral:rRNA from 1 species
GACGAACGCUGGCGGCGUGCUUAACACAUGCAAGUCGAGCGGUAAGGCCCUUUCGGGGGUACACGAGCGGCGAACGGGUGAGUAACACGUGGGUGACCUGCCCUCAGCUCUGGGAUAAGCCUGGGAAACCGGGUCUAAUACCGGAUAUGACUCCAUGACGCAUGUUGUGGGGUGGAAAGCCUUGUGCGGCUGAGGAUGGGCCCGCGGCCUAUCAGCUUGUUGGUGGGGGUGAUGGCCUACCAAGGCGACGACGGGUAGCCGGCCUGAGAGGGCGACCGGCCACACUGGGACUGAGACACGGCCCAGACUCCUACGGGAGGCAGCAGUGGGGAAUCUUGGACAAUGGGCGCAAGCCUGAUCCAGCCAUGCCGCGUGAGUGACGAAGGCCUC